GGGCGAUUAGCUCAGUUGGUCAGAGCGCCACGCUUACAACGUGGAUGUCGGCGGUUCGAAUCCGUCAUCGCCCACUA
rnacentral:tRNA from 1 species